rnacentral:lncRNA from 1 species
CCUUGAGUUGUAAUGAGAAGAUGAAGAGUGAAGAAGAAGCAGAUCUGGAGGAGUGGUUUAAGGAGAUCCAUCAGACUUGGAACAACUGAAACGCUAUGCUUAAGCUACUGCAAAUACUUGUACUCCAACAAUGUACUCACUUGGUCAAUUAUAUAUGAGUGCGCGCGCAAGUGAAAGUGAUAAAGGUCUAUUGUCAAGUAAAAAGGCAGGCUUAAUCAUCCCAAGUGUCACAUUGUCACUCUGUCCCAAUCCCUUUCCGCCGGCUAUCAUUG